UAACACAUGCAAGUCGAGCGAGAAAGCUCUCUUCGGAGAGUGAGUAGAGCGGCGCACGGGUGAGUAGCGCGUGGAUGAUCUACCCUGAAGAUCGGGAUAACAGUUGGAAACGACUGCUAAUACCGUAUAUCCUGCAUAUUUAACUUUAUGUGGUAAAGAUGGCCUCUAUUUAUAAGCUAUCGCUUUGGGAUGAGUCCGCGUCUCAUUAGAUAGUUGGUGGGGUAAUGGCCUACCAAGUCUACGAUGAGUAGCAGGUCUGAGAGGAUGAUCUGCCACACUGGGACUGAAACACGGCCCAGACUCCUACGGGAGGCAGCAGUGGGGAAUAUUGCGCAAUGGGGGAAACCCUGACGCAGCGACGCCGCGUGUAGGAAGAAGGCUUUCGGGUCGUAAACUACUGUCAAGAGGGAAGAAACUGUUUAGGUAUAAUACGCCUAUUCACUGACGGUACCUCUAGAGGAAGCACCGGCUAACUCCGUGCCAGCAGCCGCGGUAAUACGGAGGGUGCGAGCGUUAAUCGGAAUCACUGGGCGUAAAGCGUGCGUAGGCGGCGCAUCAAGUCAGACGUGAAAGCCCUCGGCUCAACCGAGGAAUUGCGUUUGAAACUGGUGUGCUAGAGUCUCGGAGAGGUUAGGGGAAUUCCAGGUGUAGGAGUGAAAUCCGUAGAUAUCUGGAGGAACACCGGUGGCGAAGGCGCCUAACUGGACGAGUACUGACGCUGAGGUACGAAAGCGUGGGGAGCAAACAGGAUUAGAUACCCUGGUAGUCCACGCCGUAAACGAUGGAUAUUAGGUGUCGGGGGUAACCCUUCGGUGCCGCAGUUAACGCGUUAAAUAUCCCGCCUGGGGAGUACGGUCGCAAGGCUGAAAACUCAAAGGAAUUGACGGGGGCCCGCACA
rnacentral:rRNA from 1 species